UACGUAGGGGGCAAGCGUUGUCCGGAAUUAUUGGGCGUAAAGCGCGCGCAGGCGGUCUGUUAAGUCUGGUGUUUAAUCCCGGGGCUCAACCCCGGUACGCAUCUGGAAACUGGCAGACUUGAGUGCAGGAGAGGAAAGCGGAAUUCCACGUGUAGCGGUGAAAUGCGUAGAGAUGUGGAGGAACACCAGUGGCGAAGGCGGCUUUCUGGACUGUAACUGACGCUGAGGCGCGAAAGCGUGGGGAGCAAACAGG
rnacentral:rRNA from 1 species